rnacentral:rRNA from 1 species
UACGAAGGGGGCUAGCGUUGCUCGGAAUCACUGGGCGUAAAGCGCACGUAGGCGGACUCUUAAGUCGGUGGUGAAAUCCUGGAGCUCAACUCCAGAACUGCCUUCGAUACUGAGAGUCUUGAGUCCGGGAGAGGUGAGUGGAACUGCGAGUGUAGAGGUGAAAUUCGUAGAUAUCGCAAGAACACCAGUGGCGAAGGCGGCUCACUGGCCC